UACAUAUAAAAAAGGUAAUUGGAUACCAGCACAGCCACAAAAAGAUACAGAUAAAGCGCCGCGAUAGAAGACCACUAAAAGACAUCAUGAAGGCAGUCUUCCUGGUUAUUCUCGCCAUUGCGCUCGUUAGUGGUGCACACUUCCCCGAGACAAUCGAGGAGAAGAUAGAGUACUGCCUCAACCAUUGUCACACCGUGUGUGGACGCAUUGACAACCCGGUUGAGGCCGAGAAAUGCACGAAAUCAUGCGAUUGGCGAUGCACUCCGCCAUCAGAAGCUUAGGCACUCCAGUAGGUGGGAUGAUUCAAAGAUUCGGGUGAAUGAAGAAGUAUGAUGGUUGUAUUAGGAUAUAAGAAAAUAAAUCGUUACUAAAACUCU